CGGUAACAGCUCAAAUUUGAAAGCUGCCAACAGGCCGCAUUGUAAUUUGUAGAAGAUGCUUUGGGUGUUGACCUAGUCUAAGUUCCUUGGAACAGGACGUCAUAGAGGGUGAGAAUCCCGUAUGUGAUUAGUGUCAGCCCCCGUGUAAAGCUCUUUCGAC
rnacentral:rRNA from 1 species